ACAGAGGUCCCAAGCGUUGUUCGGAUUCACUGGGCGUAAAGGGUGCGUAGGUGGUGAGGUAAGUCGGAUGUGAAAGCUCCGAGCUCAACUCGGAAAUGGCAUUGGAAACUACCUUGCUCGAGGGUUUGAGGGGGGACUGGAAUACUUGGUGUAGCAGUGAAAUGCGUAGAUAUCAAGUGGAACACCAGUGGCGAAGGCGAGUCCCUGGAAAACUCCUGACACUGAGGCACGAAAGCUAGGGGAGCAAACAGGAUUAGAAACCCUAGUAGUCC
rnacentral:rRNA from 1 species